CAGGGGCGUAGCUAGAAAAAAACGAUGUGGAAGCAACUACUGCCGAGCGGAUCGAGGCGAAAAAAAUUUGGGACCCUAUUAUGCAGAUUUUUUUUUAUUUUUUUUUCGGUUUUCGGUCAUAGGACGGUUAAAAGAGGAGCUAAAUGUAGAUAAAAAUUUAUGAAUGUAAAACUAUUAAUAAAUCUUCUGAAUAUAGUAAUACAUAAACAACACAUAUUUGUGAUACAGAAUUUACUCAAAAUUGUCCAAAAUCUGCUCUUCGGGUCUGGGCAAAAACAAACUUCUCUAUUACUUUGUCAACAUUCACACUGAAAUCCCGAUGAAUAUGCAGUAAUGCUAUGUAUCUUUCGUUUUUCAUUGUUGAUCGUACAUUUGUUUUCAAUUACAUACGUAGUACCGUGACUGAUAGAUCUCAGGGCCAUCAUGGCAUGAUAGCACUCGCGAGAUGUUAUAAACCAGCGUUCGUGUUCGGCAUCGAGCGACCUCCCAAUUGAAUUCGUCAAAAUUACAUGCUAGGUCAGUUUCGUAUGUUUCAGACAAUAUUGAGAUUUCAUCGUUAUUGAUAUUUCCUACAACACGAUGAAGCAGAUACAGCAUAAAGAAGCGAUUUUCUGAUAACUUGACGCGACUCCACUCUCCAGUUGCCUUAUCAUAUGGUCUAUGAACGCAAAAAAUAAUGAGACUUUCCAAUACUGUUUUGGCGUGGUUGCAGGGUGAUUGGCUCCGGUAGUCUGUCAACCACAUCGCCUCGGCAUAUUUUCAACGAUAUCGAAGGAUCUGACAAUUCUAAUGUCGAUUGGUACAUCUCAUUCCAAACUGAUGAACUGUUCACUGUAAAAUGUGCUUCAAAAUUACAUAUCUUAGACUGAGU
rnacentral:lncRNA from 1 species